AUAAUGAUACUCCCCUAUAGCCACAGUCAAAGCUUAGACGGCUUGUAAAGGCAAUGGGUAGGGCUGGACUGUAAGUGCAGGAGUGAAAUUCUCGUGA
ncrna:unclassified sequences pemK RNA